UGGAUGUAGGUAAGUUGUUGAAAGCUUGUUCUGAAAGCCUUUAAUUAAUUAAUUAAUUGAUUAACGAAUUAAUUUAUUUAUUUUUGGCUUGGCACUACUUCCAUGAACAUGGAAAAUAGCCAAAGUAGGAAGCUGCCCACUGAGGAAUGCUGCUUUACCAUCCAGCCCAAGUACCAUAAGGAAUUCAAUGUUUUUUUUUUUCUUCCUUUCUCGAUAUGCAAUAAUUCUUAAAGUGGCAACCGUGUUAGUAGCUACAACAAGACAAGUGCUAGGAAGAAGGUGGAGUUUCUCUUUUUACCAUUCCUGUGGCCCUAAUGGAAAUGAAAAAGUGCAGAGACGGGUCAAGGCUUGAGGAUACCUUCCAUUGACAAAGUUGUUAGAAAGUCAGUAUCUCAAAGCUCAAAAAACAUAAACUGGGAAUCUGUAUCCUUUAAACAUUUUGAUUUUAUUUUCCUGAAGAUUUGUGUAUGUGAUUGCAUAGUAUUUUUUUUUUCAUGGAAAUUGAACCCAGAGACUGGCAUGGAUGGGCUAAGUAUGUAUUCUACUACUGAACUAAAACCCCCAACUUGCAAAAUAGUUUCAAAUUGCAUUUCUACAUAUUUACUCUAAAUCUAUUUUAGAAACUCAUCCAUAAAUCCAGCUCAUAUUAUUCUGCUUUUCUAACUUUUCUCCUGGGUAGAAAGAAAAGUGAAAGAGACUUGGAAUGACAGAUUUUUUUUUUUUUUUUGGUGGGUCUUCAAAAAACCUAGCUUCCUUACAGUAUCCACUUGAAAACAUUCUUCACUUUUCAUAAAUUUCUGUAAACCUAAAACUUGGGAAGUGAAGAGUUGUGACAGUAGCUACCGUUUAUUAAUGCUGUUCUAGUACUUUAUACAUAAGUGGCUCAUUUCUCUUCAUAACAAGGUACUUUUACUAUUGUUUCUGUUUUACAGAUGAAGCCCUGGUGCUAGUUAGGGCACAGCUGGGGUCCACCAGGAAGCCUGGGGCCAGUUGCACUUACUCUGUUCAUUCUCCAGGACAACAUACAGAUGUUGCGUGGCCACAUGUACAUUUCUAGCUAAUUUGCCAUGGUGUCGUACAUUUGCCAGCUUCAUGAAAUAGAAGAGAUCCCUGUUGCUUGUCCACGUUUGCCCAUUUUUCUUUCUUUUGUGAAACCAAAUAGAACUCUCUUUCUUUGGUGAAUGAGGUGAAGUUAUCAACCAUAACUAUGUAAAGCUCUUUAAAUGCUCAUGGUGACAUGGACUAGAUGUUUGAGCUUGCCAUUCUUUUUGGUUUGAAUAAUUGAUCCAACUGGAGAAACUGAUGGGGUCUUCAGGUUGCCACCUUCCAUUCCUGAAUGACCAUGAAUUAGCGUGGGCUUCGUUUCAAAUGUAUAUGAGUGUCGAUGAAAUAACACGGUACAGAAGACAUAUAAUUUUAAGAUAACAUUAAUUAUUUUAUAAAUAAUUAUUCAGAUGCAUCAAAACCCUAUCAUAUCUAUCCAUACAUCCAUAUCAAUUUUUGGUAUACACCAGCUUUCAUUUCGUAAAACAACCCAUAUCAUUUUGGGCCUGCACUAUAUAUAGAGAGAGUUAUGUUUGAGUUCAGUCCGAAAUUUCCCUUUCUUAUCACGGCCAUGUUGUAACAGGUAUCUUCUGUACCAAAUCAUGUACCUAACAUUUACGUCCAUCAUGAACUAAUGCCUUUUAGUGGAGUAGCCCUGAUAUUGUGAUCUUCCACGGCAUAGUGGUGGGAAGGGGAGGGAAACAUUAAAUGUCAGUAGCUACAGCAAGUAGCUACUGGAAAGGGCUCUAGGAAGAGGGCAGAGUGUCUCUCCGGUUUCACGUUCCUGUGGCCCGAGCGGAAAUGUAAAAGUGCAGGGUUUGCAUUGGAAUGAGAAUGGGGUCACCUCCCUUUUGUAGUCAUCAUCAAGGAAGCAGAACUUCCUUCCAGAGAGACCAGAGGAAAUCAAUGAUCGCACUUUGCCAGCAAAGAGGUAAAUGUGUACCGCAGAUGGCAUUAAAUAAAAGGACAGCCGAAAAUGACGGACUCUCCCAGGCAGUGUGACUUUUUGGUCACUUCAAAGCAUU
rnacentral:lncRNA from 1 species